GUGAGGAAUAUUCCGCAAUGGGGGAAACCCUGACGGAGCAAUGCCGCGUGCAGGAUGAAGGCCCUCGGGUCGUAAACUGCUUUUAUAUGAGAAGAAUAUGACGGUAACAUAUGAAUAAGGGACGGCUAACUACGUGCCAGCAGCCGCGGUCAUACGUAGGUCCCAAGCGUUAUCCGGAGUGACUGGGCGUAAAGAGUUGCGUAGGCGGCUCGUUAAGCGUGAAAUGAAAUUUAUCGGCUCAACCGGUAAACUAUUUCGCGAACUGACGGGCUCGAAAGUAUGAGAGGUUACUGGAAUUUCUAGUGUAGCAGUGAAAUGCGAAGAUAAUAGAAAGAACACCAACGGCGUAGGCAGGUAACUGGCAUACAUCUGACGCUGAGGCACGAAAGCGUGGGGAGCGAACCGGAUUAGAAACCCCGGUAGUCC
rnacentral:rRNA from 1 species